rnacentral:tRNA from 1 species
CCUGGUGGCUCAGUCGGUAGAGAAACUGCCUGAAAUGCAGGAGACCUGGGUUUAAUCCCUGUGUCAGGA